rnacentral:rRNA from 1 species
GUCUAUGGUCAUACCACCCUGAACGCGCCCGAUCUCGUCUGAUCUCGGAAGCUAAGCAGGGUUGGGCUUGGUUAGUACUUGGAUGGGAGACCACCUGGGAAUACCAGGUGCUAUAGGCU